ensembl:lncRNA
ACACCCCCCCCCAACCGGAGCCGUGAGGUGCGGGUCCAGCUGCGGGCGGUGCCGGAGGAUCCCGUCGCCGGCGGUCACAGUGGGUCAUGGCAGGGCGGACACAGCCGCCUGGUUAGCACUGCAACUGGAAAUGCACUCGUGGAAAUCCCCAUGGACCAAAGUGCUCCUCUCUCUGGCAAACACAUGGGUGCAGCCAAAGCAAGUCGGAGGGACAGCAUUUCUUUACCAAUUCUCUACAAAGAGAAGAAGGACCAUACAGUUCCGUGGAGGUCCUCUGCGAAGCGACACUGACAAUUCAAUCUGGCUGAAGAGUUAAGUAGCUGCACCAACUUCCAAUUCAAAGCAAACAUGAAAGGAAGAUUUAACAGGCAAAUUAUAUAUACCUCAUCUAGCCCUAGAGAGCUCCCUGGGAAACUUGGAAUUUUCUCCCUACCCCAGGAGAAAAACUGAGCGACAAACUUCCUUCUGUGUUCUGGCUGACACAUCAGGACAUGAUUCCUCCCCUAUGAACAUGGAAGCAUUAAGACCUCUACUGAAAGAAAAAUGUAACUGUAGAAGAAUAUAGAGGCUUUUAAGGCAUUUAAGAUACAAGGAAACAACAGGAGUUACUGAAUACAUCAUUUUGAGACUGUUUUGCCUGUUUAUUCACACAUAACGCUUGCCUGAACGCUCUGGUCUCCAAAUAGAAAAAGUGACUACCUCAUUUACCACCUCGGGACAACCAACCAUUUCCAGUUACUUACAAUUUAAGUCCACUUCUGACUCUGGCAUUGCUUCAUGCAAUGUGCAUUUGCACCAUCUACAGUCUCUGUCUAGGGAAAAUGUGUUGCUUGAACUUCCCCCCACCUCAGGAAAGAUAUCGACGGCGCGUGUCGUCACCAGUGGCUCCACUGAUGGUGGAAACAACUUUCUCCAUAGAAAUCAUGAAGAAUCAAGACAAAUCAUGCUGUUAAUAAGCCAGUGCUCUAGGUCACUCCGAUGACGACCGCAAUCCCUGCUCAUGGCUUUGGCAGCCAAGCACCAAUGAUUUACAAUUUGGAUCUCAGCGCGCACAGGCAGGUUUUCACUGUAGCGUGGCACUCUGCUACUGCUUCACAAGACUCAUUGCACUGCAUUGUUAACUUCAUUUCCAGCUCUUGGAAACUCUUCAUCAAAAGUUAGUAUUGCAUCUAACAGGAGAGAUGCAAAGAUGAAGGAAUAGCAAUUCCUUUGCCAAUCAAAGAACCUUCUUCUUCAGGUAAACUCUUGACUUGGUUGCAUUUCCUGGGACUGCAGUCUUCUGGAAGGGAUGAGGAACCUCUUUAAUCCAAAAGUGUCAUCUCUGAAGCACUAUGGAUGCCUUUCAGCAAGGUUAUGAAGUGUCUUUGGGGAAAUCACAAUAGCGUAGAUGGAAGCUUCUGGAAGGCCCACAGAAAUAUCCUUUCCCACUUGCAUAAUCAAAGAUAACAAGUAACUUCUUGCUUUUAGUUCAUCUAUUUCAACACAAAAACAGGCAGUGAAAAAGGAAAGAAUCCCAUUUGUAGGCAGCACCCAAAACCCAGAAUUUUGGGGAAACAGAAAAAAAAAGAAAAAAAAA